GAUGAACGCUAGCUACAGGCUUAACACAUGCAAGUCGAGGGGCAUCAGGAAGAAAGCUUGCUUUCUUUGCUGGCGACCGGCGCACGGGUGAGUAACACGUAUCCAACCUGCCCUUUACUCGGGGAUAGCCUUUCGAAAGAAAGAUUAAUACCCGGUAGCAUAAUGAUUUCGCAUGGUUUCAUUAUUAAAGGAUUCCGGUAAAGGAUGGGGAUGCGUUCCAUUAGGUUGUUGGUGAGGUAACGGCUCACCAAGCCUUCGAUGGAUAGGGGUUCUGAGAGGAAGGUCCCCCACAUUGGAACUGAGACACGGUCCAA
rnacentral:rRNA from 1 species